ensembl:lncRNA
CUGGUCAUCAUGCUCAGUUCGUCCUGAAACUCUGGAGUGCAGCUGCAUGGUGGAGAGCUGCUGGUGUGGGCUGGAGAGCAGCAGGUAGCCUGUUAUUGAUGCUGAAUGCUGUUUAAACACAUGACUGGUGCUUUUGUUUUUAAAAUGAGAGUUUAAGAAGAAGAAAAAAAAAACUCCCAAGAGCGGCAGAAAAACAUGUUUAUGACUUAAUUUGCAUAAAGUGUAGUAUGUAAUAAGUCGGUUCUUGGCUAAAAAUUUAAAUAUCAUCCGAGAGAUUAACCAAAGAGGUGGGAUGCAACAUAAAAAAUAAAAAAUAAGAAGAAAUGGAAAAAGUUACAAAAAAAAGAAAAUAAAUGGCGGUGACACUGUAUUUCCACAAGGGGGAUGUCAAUCUCCAGUCCCUGUGGUCGUCCCUCCUCCUUAGCACUCCUCCUCAGCACUCUUCCUCCUCCUCCUCUUCCUCUUCCUCCUCAUCCUUUGUGGUCGUGGCUGAUUCGGAUGCUGUUAUUCCCGGCCCUGGACCACACCUGCUCACCCCACGGUUCUCUUUCACACAUAUGAAAACACGUCCAGAGUAGAGCGAUGGGUCCACUGCUGCUGCACAAAGACGGAAGGGGCUGAACCGUCCCAUUCAGAGCCGGCAACACAGAAACCCACAUUAUGUACAUAAUCCUCAGUGUAUGUUUACAUAGACACAGUUAUAGGUGUCCUGUUGGGGGGGGGGUGAAACAAGCAUGACCACAUCUCAUCUACAGGUUUUUCUGCAGUCGCUUCAUCUGAGCCAGUGGAAGCGUGGAGUCAAUUUUCUGAGUCACUCUGGCUUGUUUUGUUCCCUUUUGUUCUUCUUUUUGUUAAAGUCCUGCAGGUGUUUGGUUUGUUCAGCAGGUAUCCAUGAACACAAGGACGCGCCGGUGUUCUUAAGUUUAUCUCUGCCUUCAGUGGCUGUUUAUCUUCUUUAUUUGGUUGUAUUCUUGACUCUUUUUUUUUUAAAUCUGCCGGGAUGUGCUAAAAUGAGCAGAAAAACGUCGGCCAAGUGUGUAUUUGUUUGCCGUGCAUGCUGCCGUGCCGAAGCUGAGGCGUCUUCGCACUUGUGUGUUGCACAGGCUGCUGUUGUUGUUCACGAGGGCACGACUCGAAAAUUGGUUCUGUCAUUUUGUCUUAAAAAUACAUGUCUUAAUUCUGUAUUUUAAAAAAAAACGAUUAAAAAAAGAAUUCUAUAUCUAUAUAUUUAUCAUACACAUCACUUCUCAAGGCACCAGUCGAUUAUUUUGGUUUCUUCUUCUCAGCCUGUGGGAUGGAAGUGAAAUAGCACCGUGCAGUACUUGGACUUGUGGUCGAUGACGUUUGUGAGACACUGAGGAAAAGUUUUGUUGAUGAGGUGAAUACUGUUCUUUUAACUUUGUUUCUCAUUUUCUUUUUUUGUGUAACGGAGAAGAAAAAAAAGAGGGGGGCACAUUUUAAUGGAUGGGUUUGUUUUUUUUUUCCUGGCCUGCAAUGAGAUGUCAAAAAUAAAAAAGCAAAUUUCCAAAGCUGACGGUGUUUUGAGAUCAACCAGUUUGUGUUCUUUUACUGUUCUAAAUAAAAAUGGCUUUCUGAUUCA